rnacentral:misc_RNA from 1 species
UCCGGUUUAACACCGGCAGUCCUUUUAGAGUGCCCAACUAAAUGCUGGCAACUAAAAGCAGGGGUUGCGCUCGUUGCGGGACCUAACCCAACAUCUCACGACACGAGCUGACGACAGCCAUGCAGCACCUGUGUACUGGUCCCGAAGGAGGACCGUAUUUCUACGGUUUUCCAGUGCAUGUCAAGCCCUGGUAAGGUUCUUCGCGUUGCAUCGAAUUAAACCACAUGCUCCGCUGCUUGUGCGGGGCCCCGUCAAUUCCUUUGAGUUUUAGCCUUGCGGCCGUACUCCCCAGGCGGGGCGCUUAAUGCGUUAGCUUCGGCACGGACGGAGUCGACACCGCCCACACCUAGCGCCCAUCGUUUACGGCGUGGACUAC